GCAGGCCUAACACAUGCAAGUCGAACGGCAGCGGGGGGUAGCUUGCUACCUCGCCGGCGAGUGGCGGACGGGUGAGUAAUGCCUGGGGAGCUGCCCAGUCGAGGGGGAUACCAGUUGGAAACGACUGCUAAUACCGCAUACGCCCUGAGGGGGAAAGGUGGGGAUCUUCGGACCUACCGCGAUUGGAUGCGCCCAGGUGGGAUUAGCUAGUUGGUGAGGUAACGGCUCACCAAGGCGACGAUCUCUAGCUGGUCUGAGAGGAUGACCAGCCACACUGGAACUGAGACACGGUCCAGACUCCUACGGGAGGCAGCAGUGGGGAAUAUUGCACAAUGGGGGAAACCCUGAUGCAGCCAUGCCGCGUGUGUGAAGAAGGCCUUCGGGUUGUAAAGCACUUUCAGUCAGGAGGAAAGGUGGCUAGCUAAUACCUAGUUGCUGUGACGUUACUGACAGAAGAAGCACCGGCUAACUCCGUGCCAGCAGCCGCGGUAAUACGGAGGGUGCAAGCGUUAAUCGGAAUUACUGGGCGUAAAGCGCACGCAGGCGGCUUGUUAAGUCAGAUGUGAAAGCCCCGGGCUCAACCUGGGA
rnacentral:rRNA from 1 species